rnacentral:piRNA from 1 species
UCUAGGCAUCUAGGGUAAUUCAAGCAUUUG